GUCAGCUGGACUAGAUGAAAGAUCUAGAUCUAGUCUAGAUCAGAUUCACAUUCUCUAGAUCGAAAUAAUUUUCAAGACUCAGAAAGAAGGACACCUUACAUGACAACGUUUUGGUGUAGCUUCAUAUUGGCAGAAUGCAAUAACAGGUUGUCUCUUUUGAAAAGGAUCAAGUAAUCACGUACUUUAUGCUGAAACUGACACUUUAUUACCAUUAUUUUCCAAACAACAAAGUUUCUUGGUCAUACCAAGGUAGACGACAUCCUUCACCAAUUAGAGAUUCCAUGCAAGUGAAAGACCUGAAAGAGAAUAGUGGGGCCUGUGCUGUACAAAUAAUUUCUGGAUUUGAUGACUAAAUGAGUAGGAUUAUUCUCUGUUAUUAGAGUGGAAUCGCGAUUUAAGACAGCAGCAUAUAGUCUUAUAAAUGCCACAAUUCUUCUGACAGAUGUCAAUGACAAUCCUUCAGUAAUACUACAUUUAGAUGGUCACCAGAACAAGCUUCACUUGAAUGUGUCAGAAGGUUCUAAGAUGGGAACUAAUGUAACCAUUUUAUUUUUCUUAGUUUCAUUAAGAUGUUACCUUUUUUUAGGAGACAAUGUGGUAAACUUAAUAAGAGUCAUGAAUCAAUCUGACACAUAGUUCAAUAUGUGCGAUUACACACAUUCUUUGCAUACAGCCCUAAUGCUAGAAAAGUAAUGUAACCAUUCCUGAUGACUCUAUAUGGGCUUGGUAUAUAUGUGAAAUAAAAAAAAAGACUAAAGCUGACAUGGCUAGGCCAGUGGCUCCAAAAUAAAUUUAGGCUAAUUGGGGUUGUU
rnacentral:sRNA from 1 species